rnacentral:rRNA from 1 species
GACGAACGCUGGCGGCGUGCCUAAUACAUGCAAGUCGAGCGGACUUGAUGAGAAGCUUGCUUCUCUGAAAGUUAGCGGCGGACGGGUGAGUAACACGUAGGCAACCUGCCUGUAAGACUGGGAUAACUACCGGAAACGGUAGCUAAUACCGGAUAGCUGGUUUUCUCGCAUGAGAGAAUCAUGAAAGACGGAGUAAUCUGUCACUUACGGAUGGGCCUGCGGCGCAUUAGCUAGUUGGUGAGGUAACGGCUCACCAAGGCGACGAUGCGUAGCCGACCUGAGAGGGUGAAUGGCCACACUGGGACUGAGACACGGCCCAGACUCCUACGGGUGGCUG